rnacentral:rRNA from 1 species
GCAUAUUAAUAAGCGGAGGAAAAGAAAACAACUGUGAUUCCCUUAGUAAUGGCGAAUGAAACGGGAAGAGCCCAUCGCCGAAUCGCUGGCCAUCUCGGUCCUGCGAAAUGUGGCGUUUGGGAGGGUCUUCCACGGAUGGACCGCCAGUCAAAGUCCAACUUGACAGUGGCCACAGCCCAUAGAGGGUGAUAGGCCCGUAAGGCGGCGGUCCGACCGUGCUGGCCACCUCCCUCGAGUCGGAUUGCUUGGGAGUGCAGUCCAAAGUGCGAGGUAAACUCCUCGUAAGGCUAAAUAUAACCCCGAGACCGAUAGCAAACAAGUACAGUGAUGGAAAAUUGAAAAGAACUUUGAAGAGAGAGUUAACAGUACGUGAAACUGUGCGGUGGUAAACAGAGGCGCACUCGAAGUGUCCGGAGGGGGCUCAGGCCUGGGUUUCGGCGGCCCUGGCGGAAUGAUCCGAUAGGACGUUCCGUUGGGCGUCGGCUGGCUCCCAAGCCGCAUUUCCCCUCCGGUUUACGGCAGGAACCGUUGGGAUCGGAUCGAUGGCUCGGGAUGAAGCGUGGGCUUUCCUUCGGGUUGGCCCAAGCUCUCGGUGUCCUGGCUCCGAACCCGACGGGCCCAUGGCGUGGACUUGUACAGCAAGCGAUUGUCUGUCGCGGUUCGCCCGUCUCUGCCGAGUAGGUCGGCGGCGCCUCUKACCCGUCUUGAAACACGGACC